rnacentral:rRNA from 1 species
GACGAACGCUGGCGGCGUGCUUAACACAUGCAAGUCGCACGGAACGGCCCUGCUUUUGUGGGGUGCUCGAGUGGCGCACGGGUGCGUAACAAGUGAGUAACCUGCCCUUGCCUUUGGGCUAACUUCAGGAAACUCGGGCUAAUACCGGAUAGGAGCUCCUGCUGCAUGGUGGGGGUUGGGAAGUUUCGGCGGGUGGGGAUGGACUCGCGGCUUAUCAGCUUGUUGGUGGGGUAGUGGCUUACCAAGGCUUUGACGGGUAGCCGGCCUGGGAGGGUGACCCGCCACAUUGGGAGUGGGAUACCGCCCAGAGUGCUAGGGGAGGCAGCAGUGGGGAAUAGUGGACGAUGGGCGGAAGGCUGAUGCAGCAACGCCGGGUGCGGGAUGACGGCCGUGGGGUUGUAAACCGCUUUCGCCUGUGACGAAGCGUGAGUGACGGUGAUGGGUAGAGAGGCAACGGCUAGCCAAGUG